CCUACGGGUGGCAGCAGUGAGGAAUAUUGGUCAAUGGCCGUAAGGCUGAACCAGCCAAGUCGCGUGAAGGAAGAAGGAUCUAUGGUUUGUAAACUUCUUUUAUAGGGGAAUAAAGGUAUCCACGUGUGGAUCUUUGCAUGUACCCUAUGAAUAAGCAUCGACUAACUCCGUGCCAGAAGCCGCGGUAAGACGGAGGAUGCGAGCGUUAUCCGGAUUUAUUGGGGUUAAAGGGUGUGUAGGUUGUUUUUUACGUCAGCGGUGAAAGUUUGUGGCUCAACCAUACAAUUGCCGUUGAAACUGGCAGACUUGAGUGGGUUUGAGGUAGGCAGAAUGCGUGGUGUAGCGGUGAAAUGCAUAGAUAUCACGCAGAACUCCGAUUGCGAAGGCAGCUUACUAGGCCAUAACUGACGCUGAAGCACGAAAGCGUGGGGAUCAAACAGGAUUAGAUACCCCAGUAGUC
rnacentral:rRNA from 1 species